rnacentral:piRNA from 2 species
CGCAAACCCAAAAUAACAAUGCAGGA